UACGGGGGGGGCAAGCGUUGUUCGGAAUUACUGGGCGUAAAGGGCUCGUAGGUGGCCAACUAAGUCAGACGUGAAAUCCCCAGGCUCAACUUGGGAACUGCGUCUGAUACUGGAUGGCUUGAAUUCGGGAGAGGGAUGCAGAAUUCCAGGUGUAGCGGUGAAAUGCGUAGAUAUCUGGAGGAACACCGGUGGCGAAGGCGGAUCUCUGGGCCUUACCUGACGCUGAGGCGCGAAAGCUAGGGGAGCGAACAGG
rnacentral:rRNA from 1 species